CGGCCCGCGACCGCGCGCUGGCGGACGAGCAGCGCGCGCUGGACGAGGCGCUGCGGCUGUCGCUGCUCGACCACUGAACGGAUCUCAAAACUGAAACGUCCACCAAAAGACUUAACGCCUAAGAGUACGACUGACGACGCGACAAUCGCAACCAUCCAAAGACGUCACGCCACGACCGCAAUCGGUUCGUUCUAGUAUAGUUAGUGUUUAAUGCUGUGCGAGAUUAUUACUUUAUAAAAAUUGUAUAUGGACUGAAUGUUUACCAUGUUUAAAAUGUAACAAAAUUUUAAUGUAUUAAAUAAUAUGUACUGUUUUAUCACAUAUAAAUUUUGUUAUUGUUCUACCCUUUCUUUGUUUAUUUGUUGUGUGCAAAUAUUUGUAUUAUUAAUAAAGAUGGUUUAUAUAUAAAGCCAAAACUUGUUGUGGUCACAAAAGCGAGCCCAAAUUUAGAUAGAUCUUUGUGGGUUUUGAUCCAGGCUAAUAUAGCUUAGUAUUAAAUUUACUAGAUGUUAAGGCUUGAUGGUUUUGGAUAAUCUUAUUUCUAAAAUAAUUAAUGUACGCAUGCGCAGCUAGUAAUAACUGCUCAAAAUAUGGAGCAGCCCGACUGGGGAAGUACCUCGAGCUGACAGAAGAUCACAGCUAAAUAAUACUGAUUUCAAGCAGUAUUGUGUUCCUGUGGAGAGUAAGGUGACCAGAGAUCCUGGGAGAGAUUGGGGGUAAGGUCGGCAAAGUGCUUGCGAUGCUUGUAGUGUUGCAGACGUCUGUCUAUAAGCUACGGUAAUCGCUUACCAUUAGGUGAGCCGUUUGUUUAUUUGCCUACUUAGUUAUAUAAAGAAGUCAUGUAGAAUUGGUAUAGAGAUGUCAGUUCUACUGUACGACAUUUUUAAGCAUAAAAAUUAACAAUUGUUACAACAGAUAAUAAAUUAUAAAGUAUGCAGAUAAAAAUCAUAAUUAUGAUAAUAUGUACGUAGGCUUUAUAGAUAUUCGUAAAGCAUUCAGUUCAUAAACAGUUCCACCAUAUAUUAAACCUUGUUUUGAUACGUGUCUUUAUAUAUAAACUUCCAAGUAAAUGUAUUAGAUAUAUUUAAAAAAGGCUCAGCAUAUAAUCAUAAUUUUUUUUUCUUUCAUUUGUGUAAAGAAUAUGAAAGUACAUGCGACUUCAAGAAAUAUUUUAAUAAAACUUGUAUAUA
rnacentral:misc_RNA from 1 species